CCUACGGGUGGCAGCAGUGAGGAAUAUUGGUCAAUGGACGAAAGCCUGAACCAGCCAAGUCGCGUGAAGGAUGAAUGCUCUAUGGGUUGUAAACUUCUUUUAUAUGGGAAUAAAAUGUUGCACGUGUGGGAUUUUGUAUGUACCUUAUGAAUAAGGAUCGGCUAACUCCGUGCCAGCAGCCGCGGUAAUACGGAGGAUCCGAGCGUUAUCCGGAUUUAUUGGGUUUAAAGGGUGCGUAGGUGGAUUGUUAAGUCAGUUGUGAAAGUGUGCGGCUCAACCGUAAAAUUGCAGUUGAAACUGGCAGUCUUGAGUACGUUAGAGGCGGGCGGAAUUCGUGGUGUAGCGGUGAAAUGCUUAGAUAUCACGAAGAACUCCGAUUGCGAAGGCAGCUCACUAGGC
rnacentral:rRNA from 1 species